AGCGAACGUUAGCGGCGCGCCUAACACAUGCAAGUCGCACGAGAAAGGGGCAACCCCGGUAAAGUGGCGCACGGGUGAGUAACGCGUGGAUGAUCUGCCUUGGAGAGGGGGAUAACCUGCCGAAAGGCGGGCUAAUACCGCGUAUGACCACGAGGUUAUGGCUUUGUGGUGAAAGAGGGCCUCUGUUUACAAGCUCUCGCUCCGAGAUGAGUCCGCGUCCCAUCAGCUAGUUGGUAGGGUAAUGGCCUACCAAGGCAACGACGGGUAGCUGGUCUGAGAAGAUGGCCAGCCACACUGGAACUGAGACACGGUCCAGACUCCUACGGGAGGCAGCAGUGGGGAAUAUUGGACAAUGGGCGCAAGCCUGAUCCAGCCAUGCCGCGUGUGUGAAGAAGGCCUUCGGGUUGUAAAGCACUUUUGUCCGGAAAGAAAUCCUUUCGAUUAAUACUCGGGAGGGAUGACGGUACCGGAAGAAUAAGCACCGGCUAACUUCGUGCCAGCCGCCGCGGUAAGAC
rnacentral:rRNA from 1 species